rnacentral:tRNA from 2 species
GCGCUCGUAGCUCAACUGGAUAGAGUAAUCGGCUACGAACCGAUCGGUUGCAGGUUCGACUCCUGCCGAGCGCGCCA